rnacentral:piRNA from 1 species
UAGGAGUGAGAACACGAUUGGUUGUC